GCCAAGUGAUGAUCCAAGGCGAAUGUGACUCCCUUUUUCUUUGGGUUAUGAUCUCUGACCUUUGCACUUGGUCUGUAAUCUUGGUGGUUGUGUAGAAGCUUCUCGCGGCCGCUGUAAGGCCAGACCAACAGUAGCUUUUGUGGCUGGUCUCUCUGACACUUGUCAGCUCACUGCAGAUUUGGUGUGCUGAAAUCAGAGUGACCUACAGGAUCGAUCAGUACCUAGUGUGCAGGUCUAUGACAUAACUUCUUGGAGGUUAAAAGGAGGAAUGAGCACAUAUCUUUGGUAAUCUGAUGGCU